rnacentral:rRNA from 1 species
AAUAGAUACCCUGGUAGUCCACGCCCUAAACGAUGUACACUAGAUCGUGGAGGCUCUGACGCCCUCAUGGUCGAAGCAAAAGUAUUUAGUGUACCGCCUGGGGAGUACGGUCGCAAGAUUAAAACUCAAAGAAAUUGACGGGGGCUCACACAAGCGGUGGAGCAUGUGGCUUAAUUCGAAGCAACGCGAAGAACCUUAUCCAAGGCUUGACAUGCACGGAUUAGUUUGCUGAAAGGUGAAUGACACUCGCAAGAGUGGAACGUGCACAGGUGCUGCAUGGCUGUCGUCAGCUCGUGCUGUGAAGUGUCGCGUUAAGUCGCUUAACGAGCGAAACCCCUAUCCUUAGUUGCCAACAGGUUAUGCUGGGGACUCUAAGGAGACUGCCGGUGUCAAACCGGAGGAAGGUGGGGAUGACGUCAAGUCCUCAUGGCCUUUAUGCCUUGGGCUGCACACGUGCUACAAUGCGGCCGACAAUGCGAAGCAAGCCGUAAGGUGGAGCAAAUCGC